rnacentral:rRNA from 1 species
GUAGGGGACAAGCGUUAUCCGGAUUUACUGGGUGUAAAGGGAGCGUAGACGGAUGGACAAGUCUGGUGUGAAAGGCUGGGGCUCAACCCCGGGACUGCAUUGGAAACUGCCCGUCUUGAGUGCCGGAGAGGUAAGCGGAAUUCCUAGUGUAGCGGUGAAAUGCGUAGAUAUUAGGAGGAACACCAGUGGCGAAGGCGGCUUACUGGACGGUAACUGACGUUGAGGCUCGAAAGCGUGGGGAGCAAACAGGAUUAGAUACCCUGGUAGUCCACGCGGUAAACGAUGAAUGCUAGGUGUCGGGGAGCAAAGCUCUUCGGUGCCGCCGCAAACGCAUUAAGCAUCCCGCCUGGGGAGU